rnacentral:rRNA from 1 species
UGUUGGAAAGAAUUUCGGUCAUGGAUGGACUCGCGGCCUAUCAGCUUGUUGGUGAGGUAAUGGCUCACCAAGGCGACGACGGGUAGCCGGCCUGAGAGGGUGACCGGCCACACUGGGACUGAGACACGGCCCAGACUCCUACGGGAGGCAGCAGUGGGGAAUAUUGCACAAUGGGCGAAAGCCUGAUGCAGCGACGCCGCGUGAGGGAUGACGGCCUUCGGGUUGUAAACCUCUUUCAGUAGGGAAGAAGCGAAAGUGACGGUACCUGCAGAAGAAGCACCGGCUAACUACGUGCCAGCAGCCGCGGUAAUACGUAGGGUGCGAGCGUUAUCCGGAAUUAUUGGGCGUAAAGAGCUCGUAGGCGGUUUGUCGCGUCUGUCGUGAAAGUCCGGGGCUUAACCCCGGAUCUGCGGUGGGUACGGGCAGACUAGAGUGCAGUAGGGGAGACUGGAAUUCCUGGUGUAGCGGUGGAAUGCGCAGAUAUCAGGAGGAACACCGAUGGCGAAGGCAGGUCUCUGGGCUGUAACUGACGCUGAGGAGCGAAAGCAUGGGGAGCGAACAGGAUUAGAUACCCUGGUAGUCCAUGCCGUAAACGUUGGGCACUAGGUGUGGGGAACAUUCCACGUUUUCCGCGCCGCAGCUAACGCAUUAAGUGCCCCGCCUGGGGAGUACGGCCGCAAGGCUAAAACUCAAAGGAAUUGACGGGGGCCCGCACAAGCGGCGGAGCAUGCGGAUUAAUUCGAUGCAACGCGAAGAACCUUACCAAGGCUUGACAUGUUCUCGAUCGCCGUAGAGAUACGGUUUCCCCUUUGGGGCGGGUUCACAGGUGGUGCAUGGUUGUCGUCAGCUCGUGUCGUGAGAUGUUGGGUUAAGUCCCGCAACGAGCGCAACCCUCGUUCCAUGUUGCCAGCACUUCGGGUGGGGACUCAUGGGAGACUGCCGGGGUCAACUCGGAGGAAGGUGGGGACGACGUCAAAUCAUCAUGCCCCUUAUGUCUUGGGCUUCACGCAUGCUACAAUGGCCGGUACAAUGGGUUGCGAUACUGUGAGGUGGAGCUAAUCCCAAAAAGCCGGUCUCAGUUCGGAUUGGGGUCUGCAACUCGACCCCAUGAAGUCGGAGUCGCUAGUAAUCGCAGAUCAGCAACGCUGCGGUGAAUACGUUCCCGGGCCUUGUACACACCGCCCGUCAAGUCACGAGAAGUCGGU